UACGUAGGGCGCAAGCGUUAUCCGGAAUUAUUGGGCGUAAAGAGCUCGUAGGCGGUUUGUCGCGUCUGCCGUGAAAGUCCGGGCUCAACUCCGGAUCUGCGGUGGGUACGGGCAGACUAGAGUGAUGUAGGGGAGACUGGAAUUCCUGGUGUAGCGGUGAAAUGCGCAGAUAUCAGGAGGAACACCGAUGGCGAAGGCAGGUCUCUGGGCAUUAACUGACGCUGAGGAGCGAAAGCCAGGGAGCGAACGGG
rnacentral:rRNA from 1 species